rnacentral:rRNA from 1 species
GCUAGCAGCCAUAUCGCCCUGCAACUGUCUGAAGCUCAGCAGGUGUGAGUCUGGUCAGUACCUGGAUGGGAGACCUCCUGGGAAAAACUAAGGUUGCAGCUGGAA